UUCCUACGGGGCGCAGCAGUGGGGACUUUUGGAGUUUGUGGGGAACCCUGCUCCAGCGACGCCGCGUGAGUGAAGAAGUAUUUCGGUAUGUAAAGCUCUAUCAGCAGGGAAGAAAGAAGUGACGGUACCUGACUAAGAAGCCCCGGCUAACUACGUGCCAGCAGCCGCGGUAAUACGUAGGGGGCAAGCGUUAUCCGGAUUUACUGGGUGUAAAGGGAGCGUAGACGGCUAUGCAGGUCUGGAGUGAAAGGCGGGGGCCCAACCCCCGGACUGCUCUGGAAACUGUAGAGCUAGAGUGCAGGAGG
rnacentral:rRNA from 1 species